AACGAACGCUGGCGGCAGGCCUAACACAUGCAAGUCGAACGCUGUAGCAAUACAGAGUGGCAGACGGGUGAGUAACGCGUGGGAACGUGCCCUUCGGUUCGGGAUAACUCAGGGAAACUUGAGCUAAUACCGGAUACGCCCUUUGGGGGAAAGAUUUAUUGCCGAAGGAUCGGCCCGCGUCCGAUUAGCUAGUUGGUGAGGUAAAGGCUCACCAAGGCGACGAUCGGUAGCUGGUCUGAGAGGAUGAUCAGCCACACUGGGACUGAGACACGGCCCAGACUCCUACGGGAGGCAGCAGUGGGGAAUAUUGGACAAUGGGCGCAAGCCUGAUCCAGCCAUGCCGCGUGAGUGAUGAAGGCCCUAGGGUUGUAAAGCUCUUUCGCCAGGGACGAUAAUGACGGUACCUGGAUAAGAAGCCCCGGCUAACUUCGUGCCAGCCGCCGCAGUAA
rnacentral:rRNA from 1 species